rnacentral:rRNA from 1 species
UACGGAGGGACUAGCGUUGUUCGGAAUUACUGGGCGUAAAGCGCACGUAGGCGGAUUUGUAAGUCAGGGGUGAAAUCCCGGGGCUCAACCUCGGAACUGCCUUUGAUACUGCAAAUCUCGAGUCCGGAAGAGGUGAGUGGAAUUCCUAGUGUAGAGGUGAAAUUCGUAGAUAUUAGGAAGAACACCAGUGGCGAAGGCGGCUCACUGGUCCGGUACUGACGCUGAGGUGCGAAAGCGUGGGAGCAACAGG